rnacentral:rRNA from 1 species
AGUGAACGCUGGCGGCGUGCCUAAUACAUGCAAGUCGAACGCGAAAGUCCUUCGGGAUGAGUAAAGUGGCGCACGGGUGAGUAAUGCAUGAGAACAUGCCCUUAGAUGGGGAAUAACGUUUGGAAACGAACGCUAAUACCGCAUAAUCUCGAGAGAGUAAAGGUGGCGCCGCAAGGGCUACCGUCUAAGGAUUGGCCCAUGUCCCAUUAGCUAGUUGGCGGGGUAAUGGCCCACCAAGGCAACGAUGGGUAUGUGGUCUGAGAGGAUGAUCACACACACUGGAACUGAGACACGGUCCAGACUCCUACGGGAGGCAGCAGUAGGGAAUAUUGCACAAUGGGGGAAACCCUGAUGCAGCAACGCCGUGUGAGUGAAGAAGGCCCUUGGGUCGUAAAGCUCUUUAGCGAGGGAAGAGGGUAGAUACGGUGAAUAAUCGUGUUUGCUGACGGUACCUCGAGAAUAAGCACCGGCUAAUUUCGUGCCAGCCGCCGCAGUAA